UACAGAGGUCCCAAGCGUUGUUCGGGUUCACUGGGCGUAAAGAGCGUGUAGGCGGCCAGGUAGGUCUGCUGUGAAAACUCGAGGCUCAACCUCGAGACGUCGGCGGAAACCAUCUGGCUAGAGUCCGGAAGAGGAGAGUGGAAUUCCUGGUGUAGCGGUGAAAUGCGCAGAUAUCAGGAAGAACACCCGUGGCGAAGGCGGCUCUCUGGGACGGUACUGACGCUGAGACGCGAAAGCGUGGGGAGCGAACAGG
rnacentral:rRNA from 1 species